GCUUUCUCAAGAUCCCCUAAGUACAGAAAUAUUACCAAUAAUGCAACCAGGAAUACAAAUUAACUUGUUUGUCUUGAAAUUUUGAGAUAAUUUUUAGUAAUUCUAGGCAAUAAAUUAUAACAAAAAUUAAAACCAAGAAAAACCGCAUGCCAUUUUUGAGUUAUUUGACAUGGUUGAAAAUAAAAUGAUAAAUCUAAUUGAAGGGGCGGAAGCAUGAAAAAUAUUAGUU
rnacentral:misc_RNA from 1 species